AUAAGACUUCUAAGAUGCAUGUCUGGAAGGCAUAAUUCUUAUUCGUCUAAUCCCCUAAUGAGGCAGUGGCUAGGAGAUACCACUAUUUUAGUCGGGCUCCCACUAAUACCGGACGAACCACUUCUUUUUUAGAGCUAGAGAGUGAUUCACCCGAGGAGAUGGUGGAAUACUUCAGGCAUAUCAGAGUAUUUUGCCCCAAACAACUCAUCCUUUAAGGGUCCGUCCAACUAGACCCCUUUUAAGGAAAUGUUUUAUGACAAUAAUUUCCUGGUCGUCGUGGGCUUGCGGCAGGCCGAAGAUAGAGGUAUACCUCUUAUUCCCUAAGUAAAAUUCUUCGUCCAUGGACAUUUUCUUACUAACAUUAUGCUUCUAUUUUGCAGCUUAUGCUAAGGUCGUCCUGAAGAAAUCUUGGACGGGAGUCAUCCGUAUGUCUAAAUUUACCAGCUCCUUAUGGAAAGAAUACAACAAGUCCGGCUCUAAAAAGAGGACGGAUACUUUGAAAAAUUCCCCAACAUUGAAGGAAUUGGCGGAGAAGGCGCCCACCAAGAAGAGGGCGGUCACAGUGGAAGACGCUCCUCCCCCCAAAAAAUCCAAAGGCUUUAUAGCCAAGAAGAAGAAGUCUGACCGUCCUUCCUUAGCGAAGGUUGAAUUGCCUCCUAAAGUGGAGGAUACAACCAUGGUUACCUUCGUUGGGGGAAGUUGACCUGACGCCUGCUACAACACCCAAACAAUCGGAUGUGGUUGUUGUUCUGGAGAUCCCUGAGAAGGCUGAAGAACAGAUCACCCAGCCGGACGCGGCUAAGGACGUCUCGGCCUUUCCGGCCAUGUUACGGGGUUGGUAUCUCAAAUGCCCCUUGCAUACAAAUCUACUUUAUUGUCUUCCGCUGAGUCGUACUACUCCAACAUUGUUAAGACUCUGCGUGUUGGCAGGCUUUAAAUGAGUCCGUUUAACAGACUAGCAGUGGUCAUUCCCGUCGAAAACACUGACGACUCUCCUCUUUCAGAUAAAGGCAAAGGAGCAGCUGAAGCAGUUCCUGAGGCUUCACUUAUAAUAUCGGACGACGAGUCCUUGGUCGCCUUCGCCAGGAUGACCUCAGCGGAUCGUGAGAAUUUCAAGCAGGAGCUCAUCAAAUGCUUCCCUGAGCCUUAUAUUUAAGACUUAAAAGGUGCUUCAUUUGGGCAUGUAGGCUACAUGUCCCAGCUUGCUGCUGAGCUCUUUGCUCGCAGCAUUCUAACAGAGGAGUGGGCUAAAGAGCUCGGAAAAGAAAAUAAGCAACUCGUCCGACAAGCUACUACAGUUGGGGAUAAGGCUAUGCAUGACAUAGCAAAGUAGGAAACCCCUGUCGCCAAUCAAGGGAGGCAUGGGAGAAACGGUCGGCCGACAAAAAUUAUCUCCUCAAAAUCAACGAACUAUUUACCGAUAAGGACGCGUUGAAGUUGGCCUUGAAAGCUGAGAGAAACACCGCUCUCUGGGCCGCAGUUCAACUUAGAAGGGAGAAUGGUCUUCUAAGGGCGCAAAACUAUCGGCUAAAGGAGGAGGUGGCUCAAGCCUUCGAGUCUGCCAAAGAGCCCCUGAAUGAGGUCAUUGAUACCUCCAAGUCCUGGUAUGUGAAGGCCUUUGAGAUGUUGGCUGAGGCAGACGACGUUCCUCGCUAUGUUGGUAGAGUUCCAAGAGAGCCUUCACAGGGCCAUGGUGGCCACUGGGGAGCCUCCGGUCUUUCAAGAGUCAUCUAAUGACGAAAAAGAAGAGGAGGUGGCCGACACAAAGAAUUAGGCCGAUGACACCAACCUCCCUCCUGAAUAGAAUUCAUAGCCUUAACUCCCUUUGUUGUUGUAUCUUGGCCGGAGGCCAUUCUGUACUUAGCUUGUUUUGCUUUUCUAUCUUAUAGAUUUUAAUCUUUUGGACAUGAGAUUUAUAACAGAACUUCUUUUUCU